CAGUCGCCGCGGGAAUACGAAGGGUGCAAGCGUUAAUCGGAAUUACUGGGCGUAAAGCGUGCGCAGGCGGUUAUAUAAGACAGAUGUGAAAUCCCCGGGCUCAACCUGGGAACUGCAUUUGAGACUGUAUGGCUAGAGUGUGUCAGAGGGGGGUAGAAUUCCACGUGUAGCAGUGAAAUGCGUAGAUAUGCGGAGGAACACCGAUGGCGAAGGCAGCCCCCUGGGCCAAUACUGACGCUCAUGCACGAAAGCGUGGGGAGCAAACAGGAUUAGAGACCCCUGUAGUCCCUGUCUCUUAUAC
rnacentral:rRNA from 1 species